AUCUGGUUCAGGACGAACGCUGGCGGCGUGCCUAAUACAUGCAAGUCGAACGGCUUUUCUAUGGAAGCUUGCUUCCACUGAGAAGAUAGUGGCGAACGGGUGAGUAACACGUGGGUAACCUGCCCAUAAGAGGGGGAUAACAUCCGGAAACGGGUGCUAAUACCGCAUAGUUUUCUUGAUCGCAUGAUCGGGAAAGGAAAGACGGCCUUUGUGCUGUCGCUUAUGGAUGGACCCGCGGCGUAUUAGUUAGUUGGUGAGGUAACGGCUCACCAAGACGAUGAUACGUAGCCGACCUGAGAGGGUGAUCGGCCACAUUGGGACUGAGACACGGCCCAAACUCCUACGGGAGGCAGCAGUAGGGAAUCUUCCGCAAUGGACGAAAGUCUGACGGAGCAACGCCGCGUGAGUGAAAGAAGGUUUUCGGAUCGUAAAACUCUGUUGUCAGAGAAGAACAAGUUGGAGAGUAACUGCUCCAGCCUUGACGGUAUCUGACCAGAAAGCCACGGCUAACUACGUGCCAGCCGCGGC
rnacentral:rRNA from 1 species